rnacentral:rRNA from 1 species
UACGAAGGGGGCUAGCGUUGUUCGGAAUUACUGGGCGUAAAGCGCACGUAGGCGGACUAUUAAGUCAGGGGUGAAAUCCCGGGGCUCAACCCCCGGAACUGCCUUUGAUACUGGUAGUCUCGAGUCCGGAAGAGGUGAGUGGAAUUCCGAGUGUAGAGGUGAAAAUUCGUAGAUAUUGGGAAGAACACCAGUGGCGAAGGCGGCUAACUGGUCCGAUACUGACGCUGAGGGUGCGAAAAGCGUGGGGGAGCAA